rnacentral:rRNA from 1 species
CAGCAGCCGCGGUAAUACGUAGGGUGCAAGCGUUAAUCGGAAUUAUUGGGCGUAAAGGGCGCGUAGGCGGUUUUUUAAGUCAGAUGUGAAAUCCCCGAGCUCAACUUGGGAACUGCAUCUGAGACCGGAAGGCUAGAGUACUGGAGAGGGUGGUGGAAUUCCUCGUGUAGCGGUGAAAUGCGUAGAGAUGAGGAGGAACACCGGUGGCGAAGGCGGCCACCUGGACAGGUACUGACGCUGAGGUACGAAAGCGUGGGGAGCAAACAGGAUUAGAUACCCUGGUAGUCCACGCCGUAAACGAUGUCAACUAGGUGUUGGGACGGUUAAUCGUCUCAUUGCCGCAGCUAACGCAUUAAGUUGACCGCCUGGGGAGUACGGUCGCAAGAUUAAAACUCAAAGGAAUUGACGG